UACGAAGGGGGCAAGCGUUGUUCGGAAUUACUGGGCGUAAAGGGCGCGUAGGCGGCUUGGCAAGUCGGGUGUGAAAACUCCAGGCUCAACCUGGAGACGCCACCCGAUACUGCCAUGGCUUGAGUCCGGUAGGGGACCACGGAAUUCCUGGUGUAGCGGUGAAAUGCGCAGAUAUCAGGAGGAACACCGGUGGCGAAGGCGGUGGUCUGGGCCGGUACUGACGCUGAGGAGCGAAAGCGUGGGGAGCGAACAGG
rnacentral:rRNA from 1 species